AGAGUUUGAUCCUGGCUCAGGAUGAACGCUGGCGGCAUGCCUAAUACAUGCAAGUCGAACGAGGAUCCUUCGGGAUCCUAGUGGCGAACGGGUGAGUAACACGUAGGGAACCUGCCCGCGCACCGGGAAUACGCUCUGGAAACGGAGAACAAAUCCCGAUGUACAGGAAGGAGGCAUCUUCUUUCUGUGAAACAUCCUGUAAGGGAUGGGGCGCGGAUGGACCUGCGGUGCAUUAGUUGGUUGGCGAGGGUAAAGGCCCACCAAGACGAUGAUGCAUAGCCGGCCUGAGAGGGCGGACGGCCACAUUGGGACUGAGACACGGCCCAGACUCCUGCGGGAGGCAGCAGUAGGGAAUUUUCGUCAAUGGGCGCAAGCCUGAACGAGCGAUGCCGCGUGAGUGAAGAAGGCCUUCGGGUCGUAAAGCUCUGUUGCGGGGGAAAAAAGGCAUCUGCAGGAAAUGGUAGAUGACAGAUGGUGCCCCGCCAGAAAGUCACGGCUAACUACGUGCCAGCAGCCGCGGUAAUACGUAGGUGGCGAGCGUUAUCCGGAAUGAUUGGGCGUAAAGGGUGCGCAGGCGGUCCUGCAAGUCUGGAGUGAAACGUAUGAGCUCAACUCAUGCAUGGCUCUGGAAACUGGAGGACUGGAGAGCAGGAGAGGGCGGUGGAACUCCAUGUGUAGCGGUAAAAUGCGUAGAUAUAUGGAAGAACACCAGUGGCGAAGGCGGCCGCCUGGCCUGUUGCUGACGCUGAGGCA
rnacentral:rRNA from 1 species